rnacentral:rRNA from 1 species
ACUAACAGGAUUCCCUUAGUAACUGCGAGUGAAGUGGGAUGAGCUCAAAUUUAAAAUCUGGUAGUGUCUGGCUGCCCGAGUUGUAAUCUAGAGAAGUGCUUUCUGUGCUGGACUGUGUUUAAGUUUCCUGGAUAUGGAACAUCAUAGAGGGUGAGAAUCCCGUCCUUAACACAGACUCCCAGUGCUCUGUGAUGCACUCUCAACGAGUCGAGUUGUUUGGGAUUGCAGCUCAAAAUGGGAGGUAAAUUCCUUCUAAAGCUAAAUAUUGGCGAGAGACCGAUAGCGAACAAGUACCGUGAGGGAAAGAUGAAAAGCACUUUGGAAAGAGAGUUAAACAGUACGUGAAAUUGUUAAAAGGGAAACAAUUGAAGUCAGUUGCAUCUGCUUGGACUCAGCCUUACUUUGGUUUGGUGCAUUUCCUUGUGGAUGGGCCAGUGUUCAUGUUGAUUACUGGAAAAGGGGCUAGGGAAUGUGGCUCUUUUGGGAGUGUUAUAGCUUUGGCUCAUAUACAGUAAUUAAUAUGGAGUGGUACAGCAUGCUUCGGUGGUGCUUGUGCUGGCAUAAUGGCUUUAAAUGACCCGUCUUGAAACACGGACCAAGGAGUCUAACAUGUCUGCAAGUAUUUGGGUGAUAAACUCAAAUGCGUAAUGAAAGUGAUAGCUGGGAACCCUGCAAAGGGGGCACCAGUGCCCCGAGCGGAUCUUCUGUGAUGCAUCGGAGGUAGAGCAUAUAUGUUGGGACCCGAAAGAUGGUGAACUAUGCCUGAAUAGGGUGAAGCCAGAGGAAACUCUGGUGGAGGCUCGUAGCGAUUCUGACGUGCAAAUCGAUCGUCAAAUUUGGGUAUAGGGGCGAAUGACUAAUCGAACC